rnacentral:lncRNA from 10 species
GUCUGUUUCCUCAGAACACCGGUCUUCACCAAAGGCGUGGGAAAGGGCAGAGAGCACAGGACAUAUUCUGGAAUUCAGGUCACCUUUUACAUCUGCCUGGAGUUGGGUGAGCGCCUCACGAAUGACUCGGCAGGACUGACUGCCACUGCUAACCAGGCGGAUGCAAGCAAUGAGGAGGACCUGCCCAGGCCGGGUGGGUGUCUGCUCCCUCCCUCUGGUCCCUGGCACAUCUCUGGACCCCCUGCCCUGCUGUCGGAGAGAGAUGACGGGCAACGGCGUAUUCUCAGAGACAGGGCCUGCCUGCAAAUCCUUUAAAGUCAAUGGGAUGAAAUGUAUACCCAUUGUUAGAAAAAAAUAGGACUUAGCAAGUUGAGUGCAAAUAACUGAUGCAAGACUGGGAUGGAGAUGGGAGGGGUUUGGGGCAAAAGCAGAAGUCUUUCUGGGUCCGCACCAGCUGUGAAAUACCUGGCUUGUUGUUCUGUGCCUGUCUCCAGCACCCAGGCAGGGCUACCUGACCACUCUGCUCUCUCAGCCCCGCCCUGGCUCUGGAGCGAGCCUGUGGAAAGGGGGACACUUAGCCAAGGCCCCAGCCACAUAGCAGCAGCAGCUGCGCCCUCUGUCAGCUCCUUGCACCUCCUCACUGGGCCUCCUGCAAGGCACCUGCUCCACUCCACCACUAUCACCUGGGUCCUCCUGGCCUUGGCCUGGCUUGCUUACCUUGUUAUCAAGUCCUGAAUGGGGGAAGCAAUAUUCCUUCUCCACUACAAAUCACCACAGUAUUCACAAAGAAUUCCAGAGAAAUAAGAACAGAGACAUCAGACCACACUGAGCACUCAAUAAAGAGAAAAUUCUUCAAAGGUAGCUGAUUGAUGAGAGUUUCCACAUGCAGAUGGGACAGGCACUGAUUUGUGCACAAGAAGAUCAACUUGAUUGAAUCCAAAAUAAAGGAAUGUGUGUGUGCUGCAUGCACGCACACACAUAUCCCCAUGGCAAACUCUUGCUAUCCCAGGAGCGCAGACCGCAUGUGAGGAUCCUGGCUCCUUAUCUCCCCUCCCCGUAUCUCCCUUCCCUGAUUACCUUUGCGAUCUGCACACACCAGUUGAGCAGGUACUGGGAGCCAAUAUUGUCUUUGUGUUCCCGGACAUAGUCCAGGAGGCAGCCGAAGGGCAUGAGCUGCGUGAUGAGCUGCACGGUGGAGGUGAGGCAGAUGCCCAGCAGGCGGCACACGUGGGGGUUGUCCACGCUGGCCAUCACGUAGGCUUCCUGGAGGGAGGGAGAGGCACGUCAGUGUGGCUUCGCAUGGUGGCCAGAAGGAGGGGCACAUGGACCCCUUCCAGGUGAAGACGCAUGAAUGCGAUCUUGAGUUUCAAAAUACGUACUCAUGGAGGAAAAGCUGUGCCUGCAAAAGACCUAGCACAGGGACGUUUACGCAGGGCUGUGAAGUGACAGAUGCAGUGGGAGAGGGCCCCUCCUGGGUGCAUCUGGGGAUUCCCCAUGACAGAGAGGCCCAGGCAACAGUGGCCAUGAGGAGCACAUUGGAUAAAGGAGGAGUCGGAGUCACCUGAUCUCUGAGUUUGGGAACUGAUAGUAUCUUUGUUAUGAAGACCUCCGCCUCAAGGUUGAGGAUGCUGUGUUUUAAAAUAUCAUGAGGGCCUGUAGGAAUCUGUGUGGGGUCCGGAACACCCUGGGUAAUGACUGACCCUGCACAUCAGGAACGCUGGCUGUGGGUGCUGCAGAGGACAAGCGAUGGAGAAGGCAUCCGGGGAGCACCGAGCCAGCAGGGAGAAAGGCCUCCCUUCCCCACAGGCCAGGCUUGGCCCUGACUGUGCUCUGGGAAAUGGGUGGGCAUUUGGGCUGGGGACCCUGCCCACAGCACCUCUGCAAAGAGUAGCUGGAUAAGCUCUUUCAAUAGACCAGUCCCAGGUUUUGAAAUGGACAGAGCAUUCAAUCUACAGUGACUAAAGGCUGCCUGGCUGCCCGGGACCCAUUUCUAAAGAGAAGUGGUCUCUCUGUGCUGUGCCCCCAGGCUCCCUAUGGGAAAUCCAUGCUGCACUGAGUCAGGCAUCUGCUGCCCUGCUAAUUCCGGCUGGCUGCCAAGGCAGGGGCCUUCCUUUGACAGAGCCAUAAAUACAGACUUUAUUUUAACCCUUCUGCUAUUCUUGGGCUGAGGAAGCUAAAUUUAUUUGCAAUCAGGCACACAAUGGGGCCCUCUUUUCUGUCUGACUGAGAAUGAGGGAAUCCCCAAUUUCCACCCAUAAAUUCUCUUUCUCUUUAAAAUACAAAUGGUGGUGACCUUUUAUUCAGAUAUGGAAAAGAACACACAGACUGUAGCAGAAAGCAUCCACAGCUGCUUUUCACAUCUCAGCAAUGCCUAUGUUUUGAGUGUGGACUUGGGCAAGUUAGUUUCUCUGCAGAAGUGAACACACUGAGCCAGGCUCUGAGAUAGGGUGCUGCUCCAGGGUGCCCGGGCAGGUCAGGAGCAACAGGCUGGCGGGAGGCAGGGUGGAGAUAGGAGACAGGAGACAAAGGCAAGGUGGGGCGAGGGGACACAGACAGUGGACCCUCAGUAUCUGGGGAAUUGGUUCCAGGACCUCCCUUAAAUAUCAAAAUGUGAGGAUGCUCAAGCCCCUGAUAUAAAGUGGCACAGCAUUUGUGUGUAACCUACAGACAUCCUCCCAUCUACAGCAUCUCCUGAUUACCUAUAGUACCUAAUACAGUGCAAAUGCUAUGUGAAUAAUUGUUAUGCUGUAUUGUUUAGGGAAUAAUGACAAGAAAAAAAGUCCGUAUAUGUUCAGUACCGAUGCAAUUUUUUUCCCCAACGUUUUUCAUUGUGGUUGAUUGAAUCCAUGGAUAUGAAACUGCAGACAUGGAGGGCAAACUGUAAAUAUUUACUAAAAUACAAAUAUGCUCACACGCUUUCCUUGCCCUAAACCCUGCCCUGGCCGUCCCUGUUCCUGGGAAGCCCCGAGGCUGACUGCCCUCCUCCCUCCAGCCUCUGGUCCUCCUGCCCACCUUCUCCCCAGGAGAGCUUCCCUCCACCCUUACCCACGGGAGAACCUCUGUCCCCAGAACCCACCUCCUCCUUCCUUAGCAGACUCUUUCUCAGAGGAGCCUUCCUCGACUCUUCAAUCUAAAUGAAACUCUCCUGGUAUCUUGCAGUUUUUCCUUCAGAAAGCAGCCUCAGCAUUGCCUGGGAACCUUUUAGAGCCACACAUUCUUGGGUCCCGCCCCCAGGCCAAGAGGGUGAAAUGCAGGAGACAGGCCUAGCCUUCCAUAUGAACAAACCCUCUGGACUCUGAAGCUUGAUGAAGCUGAAGAGCCACUGCUUUGAGGCAGUCAUCAUAAUCUGUACUUAAAUAUUUGUGUGAUUUUAAAAAUACCCUCCCCACCAAGUUUUUGAGGAAAGAACGGCUUGGUCAGCCCCUAGCACACGCUUAGGGUCUAGCUGGCGCUCUGCAGUGUCGGAUCACCCGGCACACACUUGCUCUUACGUUGACUCAAGUCUCCGCCCCGUAUCUGUUGGCAAGUACGUGGCAAGUGCUCUGAGGGCCUGGACCUUUGCUUCUUCAACAUUCCAGCAGGGACUAGGGCAGAUCUAGGCACAUACCUACUUCAAAACUGUCAGGGUUGAACUGUACUGAAGUCAUGAAGGUCAAAGACUCAAAGCAAGUCAAAGUCCAGGCCACUUGCAUUCAAGACAAACAAACAAAAACUAUAGCUUUAAAUAUUUCCUGCAGAGUGUUUAGGCUCUCUAUUUUCAAGGAGAGUGUGUGUUAUUUUCCUUUUAUAUUCUAAAGAUAAUGCCACAAUUUUAAAGAAGAGAGGAGAUAUUUAAUAUCUGUGGACUCAGUAGAUAUUGAAAAUAUCCCUUUAACUUGGAUAAGUGCUUGUUUAUAAAAAGUCAGAACUGGACAGGGCCAGGAAGCGUAUUUUGUCUGAGGUCACUGUAGUCAGAGGGUAAGCUGAGGCUGACGAGGUGAACGGCCCACCUGAGGCCACCCUGAGCAGGGUCAGGUCAGGCCCACAACCAGGUCUCCUGACCCUGGCUCCCUCCAUGGCCCACUGCUCACCCCAAUGGGUCGGAGGCGCCCCAGGUCCUCUGUGUGAAGGCAGCCUGUGGGGCCUGUUGGGUGCUCCAGUUAACAGACUUUAGACGUGGGAGACACACACACAGUACACCUAGAAAUCUGUUUUGCGUUCCCUUCCAUUGCCUACCCUAAAUUUAAACUGGAAAGCCUAUGAAAAUUUAAUACGCCAUGGGAUUGCCAGAAAGCACAAAUCACAUCUCUCCCCCGGAGUCUGGGAAGCUGUACAACCAUAACACCAAAGAAACCCUCUGGCUCUUCCUAUUUUCUCAAGAUCUGGUUGAGACUUGAAAACAUAUUGUAUUCAUUUGAGAGGGAAGAAAAAUCUGCAAACCAGAGCAGUUUGAGCAGCCCAUCUGCUGCAGGGCCUCGCAGGGCUGACCUGGGGCUGGGAAUGGGGAGCAGAGCGGGGGGCGUGGGUGUCGGCCACACAGAGCCUGGAGCCCCGCCAGGCCCCAUCCUACUAACAUCUGAUAGACCCACUGGGCCAUCACUUCCUCCCCACCCAGCAGGCACAAUGGGAACGCUGUUCAGUCGUGUGUCCCGUUCGGUGUACGCAGAAGCUAAAGCGAGCUUUGUUCUCGGCUGUUUGUCUUGGAAGUAGUAAACGUGCACCGUGACCUACAGCAAGCAUGCUUGGUAUUCCACAACAAUCUUCGUGGAGCCCCAGCACCCACAGGCUGGCAGGCAGAGCGCACAGUUGGAGCCCCCAUGGCUCCUAGCCCAGUCCCACCGCAGGAGUGUCCCUGAGGCUUUGUGACCUUGAAAGCCUGUUAUUUUGUCCUAACUGCUGACAUGACUUUUGGUUCCUUCCUUCUGGCUUGUCUCUCUCAUCUGUGAAUGGCUCUACCGUAUGAAUUGGGAUUCCACUAGCUCUUGAACUCCUUAAGGAGAGGUGUACGUCCAGCCUUAUGAAUGAAGGGCAGGUGUCCCCUGCAUUUUAAGAACUUUACUCAUUCACUAAGCCACUGCUAGCAACAUGGAACUGGGGCUGCAGUGUGUGUGCCGGCUGUGGGGGCCUGGUGUCUGCAGGGGAACGGCUUUGCUCUGGCAAACUGGCCAGAGCUGAUGUUGAAGGAAGCCCUUUUGCCU